UACGGGGGGGGCAAGCGUUGUUCGGAAUUACUGGGCGUAAAGGGCUCGUAGGCGGCCAACUAAGUCAGACGUGAAAUCCCCCGGCUUAACCUGGGAACUGCGUCUGAUACUGGAAGGCUUGAGGAUGGGAGAGGGAUGUAGAAUUCCAGGUGUAGCGGUGAAAUGCGUAGAUAUCUGGAGGAAUACCGGUGGCGAAGGCGGCAUCCUGGACCAUUACUGACGCUGAGGCGCGAAAGCUAGGGGAGCAAACGGG
rnacentral:rRNA from 1 species